rnacentral:lncRNA from 1 species
CUUGGUAGAACUGCAUCCUGUUAGAUCAUAUUGUGAGGCCUGCACCAAAAAUUCUAGAGAGAUUGUUAGUACAAAAAUAAAAAAUAAAAAUAGAAAUUAGGGAUUGAAAAAAUAAAAAUGGAAAAAUAAAAAUAAAAAUAAAAUAAAGUAAAAAUUAAUCAAGAAUCACACAAAUAGAAUAGCUUAAAUCGUGAGUCCCCGACAACGGUACCAAAAACUUGUUGGGGCAAAUCGGCAAGUGUACCGAGUCGC